CCAAUGUUCUUCCUCCCCCAUUAUUUUUGAGAUCCUGUCACAAAAUGCAGUAAACGCCUUGCUAUCCUCUAUGCUUUUCUUUUCCUUCCUCGGUGGUUUCAUCAUCUUCCAUUGCACUGCCUAGCUUGACAAUAUCUUCAACAAGGAUUUUUCCUUCUCUAUCUUUGGAGAGGUUACUUAUAAGUUCUUGGAUACCCUGCUUGCCCAAGUGGUCUUUGAGGUACAUAGCAGCAGAUGCAACCUCCUCAGGAGUCACUUUCCCAUCAUAAUCCCUAUCAAGCAAGCGCCAUCGAUCUCCAAUUUUGGCAUCCACAUCAUCAAUUUCUUUUUCAAGCUUUUGAAGCAUAGCAUCUACUCUAUCAAUCAGUGCUGAAGAAACCUUGUCAGCUAUGGCUGUCUCCGCAGCAUGGUCACUCUCCUCUCUGGCAGCUCUAUAUGCCUUUUUAGCUUCUUCCUCAUCUUCUGUCCCUUCUUUGUCCACCAUACUAUUAUAAAGCACUAUCUCCUUCUUAACAAGUUUCAAGAAUUCCUCACGCUCUCUGCUGACAGAAGAUGCAGAAGCUAAAACAGCUAAGGCACGACUGAGCUCACAAAGCUGCUCAUGUUUUUCCAAUGUUUUUGCUCUUGCUUGUUCUUGAGCUUCUCUAGCUGUUGGAAUAGUCAUCUCUUCCAAAGCCACGUCCUUCUGGCUACCAACAGAUUCCUUCAUCUUGGCCUGCUCCUCUUCUUCUUCCUCUUCUUCCUCCUUGAUCAGCUCUUCCUGCAUUUCUAGGAACUCCAACUUUCUUCUCCUUUCUGAGACUGAAUCUUCAGAUGGCAAAGCUGUAACUCCAACAGUGUCCACGACUUCAUCUGGAAGAGAUGAAAGUGUAGCCUGAACAGCUUCUUCUGGCUUAACUUUUCCAGAAAUAGAGAAGGCUCUAGACAAAAUCAACAGAGAAGAUGGAACAGAAUGAUUCAGAGACAAAUCCAGCCAAUCACGCAGCUGUUGCCGCAUUUCUUCAACUGAAAGCAAUCCAAGUAACCCUCGAUCUCUACAAGCGUGACGAAGCUCAGGUUCUGAAAGGGACUCCACGCCCUCAGCUUGAAUCAUCUUAUCAUCAUUCUUAAUCUCUUGCAGUCUCCUCCGAAGCAUAAAACGUAGAUAUGCAUCUGUUCCAUAAGGGCUGAUACCCAUAUACUUGCACAUGUUUACUAGUCGAGGCCUGCUGACGUUAUCCAAGGUAAGCUCAUCAUUAAAUAACUUGGCAAAGCCUAAAAUUUCUUCAUUGGAAACACGUGCACCUGUUCUAACCUUGUUCAUAAAUUCGUCAAGAUCUUCAGCAGUUUUCUUAGUUUCUCCACUUCUUGAGUUCUGGACUUCUUUUGCCAUUUCUUUAACAGUGUCUUGAAGAAACUUGGCAUAUUCUAUUCUAGCAUUCAACUUCCUUUUCAGUGCCUCCUGUUCUUUCAUCUUGUCCUGGAAGGUUGACGGCAACAUGUUGGGAAACAAUUUUAGGAAUACUGGUAGCAAGAAUUCCAUGAAUGGAACUAUAAUAAAAACUGCAAAAGGAACUAGCCUAAAUAUAUCAGCUGUAGUGCGUGUAAGCUGUUGCCUUUCCCUUCUAGAAAGACCCUUCCCACUGGCAAGUUUCACCAGUAACCUCGAGCUUAUCCUAACAUCAGCCCACAGUAGCUUUGUACCCAACCAAUAGUGUUGCAUCGUGGACUUAAACUCAUCCCUCCAAUGGCGAAACUUCUUAGCCCAGUCAUCCCUGCUCAUUGAAGCAACAGCUUUCAAUGCGGGACCAAUGCCCAAAAGCAUAGCCCAUAUUCUUUGCAUUAUUGAUUUAGAAAUCUUUUGUGAUUCUUGCACCUGCUUAGCUUUUGCCUUGGCCUUCACCUCACUUAAAUCUUCAACAGCUUCAUCACACUCCUCUGGUGAAGCUUCCUUCACCUGCUUGGCAACUUGUUGUUCAUUUCUGUCAUUACCACCGCCAAAUUUAGGUUGACCAGCUGUGGCAGUUGAAGAAAAACGAACAGACUGUGAAAACCACCUAAUUCCUAAAGAAGAAUCAAAAUCUGCCUUUCCAAUCCUGUAACCCAAAUUUGAAGAUCCAAUAAAAUUAUGCCUAAGAUAAGCUGCUGCUAAAUGAGUUAAAGUUUCAUCCCUAAGAACUGAAUAUAAAUCCCCUUCAUAUCUACUAUAAUUCUUUUCAGACGGGUGACUAACAAUCCAUCUUGAUCUUUCCAAGCCACUUGAUUGGGGAGGCUGCCCAUGCUCAAAACUUGAAAAGCUCCUAACCAAGCAAACUGGUUGAUUCAGGGAACUGAAGAGGGAUCUCUUCCUCCCCAAGAUUGCUCUUGAUGCCAUUAUUAUAAAUUUCAGUCUCUAAAAAGAGGAGAAUAGUGACAUAUCUGAUGCACACUGAGCCAGCCUCCGCUGAAAGCUCCAAUCUACAAAGAGAGAGAGAGAGAAAGAAGUGAUUUGUUUGCUCGAGGUUAUGGCG
rnacentral:misc_RNA from 1 species